GGGGAUUCUUCCCCAAUGGACGCAAGUUUGAUGGAACGCCGCGUGAGAAGAAGGGUUCGGCUCGUAAAGCUGUUGUUAAAGAAGAACGUGGUGAGAGUAACUGUUCACCCAGUGACGGUAUUUAACCAGAAAGCCACGGCUAACUACGUGCCAGCAGCCGCGGUAAUACGUAGGUGGCAAGCGUUAUCCGGAUUUAUUGGGCGUAAAGCGAGCGCAGGCGGUCUUUUAAGUCUAAUGUGAAAGCCUUCGGCUCAACCGAAGAAGUGCAUUGGAAACUGGGAGACUUGAGUGCAGAAGAGGACAGUGGAACUCCAUGUGUAGCGGUGAAAUGCGUAGAUAUAUGGAAGAACACCAGUGGCGAAGGCGGCUGUCUGGUCUGUAACUGACGCUGAGGCUCGAAAGCAUGGGUAGCGAACAGGAUUAGAUACCCUGGUAGUCCAUGCCGUAAACGAUGAUUACUAAGUGUUGGAGGGUUUCCGCCCUUCAGUGCUGCAGCUAACGCAUUAAGUAAUCCGCCUGGGGAGUACGACCGCAAGGUUGAAACUCAAAAGAAUUGACGGGGGCCCGCACAAGCGGUGGAGCAUGUGGUUUAAUUCGAAGCUACGCGAAGAACCUUACCAGGUCUUGACAUCUUCUGCCAACCUAAGAGAUUAGGCGUUCCCUUCGGGGACAGAAUGACAGGUGGUGCAUGGUUGUCGUCAGCUCGUGUCGUGAGAUGUUGGGUUAAGUCCCGCAACGAGCGCAACCCUUAUUACUAGUUGCCAGCAUUCAGUUGGGCACUCUAGUGAGACUGCCGGUGACAAACCGGAGGAAGGUGGGGACGACGUCAAAUCAUCAUGCCCCUUAUGACCUGGGCUACACACGUGCUACAAUGGAUGGUACAACGAGUUGCGAAACCGCGAGGUUUAGCUAAUCUCUUAAAACCAUUCUCAGUUCGGACUGUAGGCUGCAACUCGCCUACACGAAGUCGGAAUCGCUAGUAAUCGCGGAUCAGCAUGCCGCGGUGAAUACGUUCCCGGGCCUUGUACACACCGCCCGUCACACCAUGAGAGUUUGUAACACCCAAAGCCGGUGGGGUAACCUUUUAGGAGCUAGCCGUCUAAGGUGGACAGAUGAUUAGGGAAGU
rnacentral:rRNA from 1 species